AUACUUACCUGGCAGGGGAGAUACCAUGAUCAGAAGGUAGUUUUCCCGGGUGAGGCUUGUCCUUUGCACUCCAGAUGUGCUGUCCCCUGCAAUUUCCCCAAAUGUGGGAAACUUGACUGUGUAAUUUGUGGUAGUGGGGGACUGCGUUUGCGCUCUCCCCUG
ensembl:snRNA U1 U1 spliceosomal RNA